UGGGGAGUAUUGGACAAUGGGCGAAAGCCUGAUCCAGCCAUGCCGCAUGAGUGAAGAAGGCCUUUGGGUUGUAAAGCUCUUUUAGUGAGGUAGAUAAUGACGGUACUCACAGAAGAAGUCCUGGCUAACUCCGUGCCUGCAGCCGCGGUAAUACGGAGAGGGCUAGCGUUAUUCGGAAUUAUUGGGCGUAAAGGGCGCGUAGGCUGGUUAGUAAGUUAAAAGUGAAAUCCCGAGGCUUAACCUUGGAACUGCUUUUAAAACUGCUAACCUAGAGAUUGAAAGAGGAUAGAGGAAUUCCUAGUGUAGAGGUGAAAUUCGUAAAUAUUAGGAGGAACACCAGUGGCGAAGGCGUCUAUCUGGUUCAAAUCUGACGCUGAGGCGCGAAGGCGUGGGGAGCAAACA
rnacentral:rRNA from 1 species